UGAUACCCCUAGUAACGGCGAGUGAAGCGGGUCAAGCUCAUCAUGUGAAUCUGUGCUCUGCACCGAAUUGUGAUCUAUAGAAGCAUUGUCGGUCGGCAUUUCGGGUUAAGUCUCUUGGAAAAGAGCAGCUGAGAGGGUGACACUCCCGUUCUUACCUGGAAUGUGCGAUCAUGGCACGUGCCUUCGACGAGUCGAGUUGCUUGGGAUUGCAGCUCAAAGUUGGUGGUAAAUUCCAUCUAAAGCUAAAUAUCGGUGGGAGACCGAUAGCGUACAAGUACCGUGAGGGAAAGAUGCAAAGAACUUUGAAAAGAGAGUUAAAGAGUACCUGAAAUUGCUGAAAGGGAAGCGAAGGAAACCAGUGCUGUUUCGUAUCAUUCUUCUUCUGCUGCUUGCGGCAGGAGCGCUGUGAUGCGGAGUCGGUCAGCAUGGGUUUGAAUCGGGACAAAUAGCUUUACAGGAGGCAGCUCAUUUACUGAGCGAUUACUGUUUAGUGUUGUCUUGGUUUGGAUCGAGGCUAGUCACUUGUGCUCGUGAUGCUGACAAAAUGGUUUUCUUUACCCCGUCUUGAAACACGGACCAAGGAGUCUAACAUAUGUGCGAGUAUAGGAGUGGCAAACUCCAAUGCGCAAUGAAAGUAACAGUGGUAUGACCUUAUGGGGCAAUAUCCGCCGGCCACAAUUCUUCGGAAGAAAGGUCUGAGUGUGAGCAUACAUGUUGGGACCCGAAAGAUGGUGAACUUUGCUUGAAUAGGAUGAAGCCACCGGAAACGGUGGUGGAGGUCCGUAGGGGUUCUGACGUGCAAAUCGAUCUUCAAAUU
rnacentral:rRNA from 1 species